ACCACUCACUUUGCCUCUCCCAGAGAAUGAGAGAAUGCGUUUUCCACCGAAGUUAGAAGUGUCUGAGAACAGAACACAGUCGUUUCCCUCUGAACCCACAGUGCUCUGAGUUUUUCACAGCGAUUAAUCUGAGAUCUGUUUUUUCACCCACUUCCUGAAUAUAGGUAUUGAAGUAGUCAUCUGUGCUUUGAAAAAGAAAAUAAAAUUAAAAGAAAAAAAAUUAAUAAAAUAAACAUUUUGUUAAAAAAAAAUGGAAGUGGGAAAAAAAUGGAAGUGAUAAUUCAAAGCUAAAGCACGCAGUUCAAAAGCUGAAGCUCCCAUUGGAGAACAGAAAAUUUAAUGAGCUUUUAAUGGAAUGCAAUGCUCGGAGUAGUAAAUUAUUUGUUAGUUGACGAUGCAAUCAGCAUGCUGAUUAAGGUCGCUUGGAUUUUUACCAAACAUUAACUGAAUGAAAACGGUUAGCCCACGUUGUUCUGCUUGGGGGGCUCCAGUGUAGCAAAUGGACUUUUGGAACAGCGACUGUCAAUGAGGGAAACAAAUGGAUUUCUUUCAACCAAUAAUUAGAGCCUCAUUGUUAAAGCGGAAAUCUCACUAUUCAGAAUUCGUGAUUAACUGGAUUUAUCUGGGAAAAAAAAAAAAAGAGUGAUUCUAUACUUCUACAUGCAGCAGCUGAUUGCAUGGGCAGAAGUUGCAUGCUGGAUUUCAUCUUUCUGGAUUUAAAAGAGGAAAAAGGAGCUUUCUGCUAUAAGCCGUCUAGAAACAGACUUGCUGAUUCUGCCCUGACAAUACAUCCAUAUCAUACCAGUGUGGGUCAUCUAUUUUCUUUGCUGUUACAGCUUAAUUCUCUUUGAAUAACUUUUCUUACAAAGCUGGUGUAUGUCUGUUAUCAAAUUAAGACAGCAAAUUAUCCUGCCAUCUCUGCUAUUUUGUGCAUCUAGGCCAAAUAAGACUGUCAUCAUAAGCCUAACAAAAGACCCGUCCCUGAAAUACUGUGGUUCUUUAGGAAAGCACAGAUGACCAGUGGUAUUUUGUUAAUCCCUUGAGGUGGUCUCAGUUAUCAGACAAAAGAUUUAAAAAUAUAUUUUAUAUAUUAAUGGGGAAAAUGAGACAAUUAUUUCAUUCUGAGAAAAUCCAUCAUUAUUUCAGUGUUUCUCUGUUCCACUCUUUUCCACCCAUUCUCUGGACAAAAUAUGCCUCUUUUCAUUGGCUUGUAUCACAGAGAUUUCUCUUUUUUUUUGCCUUAUGUAAUUAUAUCACUUUGCUGUAUGAGUUCAAUGGCAAUGGAAAAUCUGCUUCCUGAAGUGCAGGUGUGCUGAGCAUGGAGAUGAUGUGCAUUUCCCAGAACUUACAGACUGCAUCUGAAGCUUAAUGGGUCUCAUUAUUUUCUUCAACAUGUCAGUCUACAACCUCCAAAAACACUGCUGCAAAUGCAGUUAUCCCACGAGUGCAGAACUAACAUAAGCCCCUACACUCCACAAGAAGCAAAGAGAGAACAGGACUAAAUGGAGUGGACAUCUUAACAGUCCUUUUGACAUUUUGAUAGCAUUAAGUGGUGGACAAUGACAGUCACAUCAGAGGGGACCUGAUCUGCAUGAGAUCAGGGAACACAAAGCAAUCUGUGCAACACUCUUUUUUUUGCUAUAGACCAUAAUGUGUAAUCUAUCCAUACUAUUCAUCUCCCAGACCUUAUAUCUAUCAAAAUCUCACAGAUUUUGACAGUAGUCUAGUUUUUUAUUUGGCAACGGGGGAAAAUUCCAUGAUUUAGAUGGCGGUGAAUACUAAUUCAGGGAUUAUCAAUAGAAGUAGAUCCUUGGAAAGCAAGUAAGUAUGUGGAACAACUGAAAAAGAUAUCUCUAGUUUUGUUUUAAAUAUUUAAGAGUUCCUAACCUUUAUUGUUGCAAGGAAAUGCUGGAUAAUGUGACCUGGAUGUCAACAAGUGUUGUAAAUAUUUGGCAGAAAAUAAAU